rnacentral:rRNA from 1 species
CCUACGGGCGGCUGCAGUAGGGAAUAUUGGACAAUGGGUGCGAGCCUGAUCCAGCCAUGCCGCGUGCAGGAAGACGGCCUUCUGGGUUGUAAACUGCUUUUGCCAGGGGAUAAAAAGUCCCUGCGGGGAAAAUUGAAGGUACCUGGUGAAUAAGCCACGGCUAACUACGUGCCAGCAGCCGCGGUAAUACGUAGGUGGCAAGCGUUGUUUGGAUUUAUUGGGUGCAAAGGGUGCCCAGGCGGUCAGUUAUGAAAUACGGCAGCUUAACUGUCGAGGUGCCAUUGAUACUGGAGGACUUGAGUACAGACGAGGUAGGCGGAAUUGACGGUGUAGCGGUGAAAUGCUUAGAUAUCGUCAAGAACACCGAUAGCGAAGGCAGCUUACUAGACUGUAACUGACGCUGAGGCACGAAAGUGUGGGGAUCAAACAGGAUUAGAUACCCGAGUAGUC